rnacentral:misc_RNA from 1 species
GGAUCAAUAUUUUGGUCAUGCCGUUGGUAUGCACUGUUAUCAUUGAUUUCUCACCUUCUAAAGAACUGUAAUGCCAUUAAUUUGGUGUUACAGGAAAUUAGGACUAUUACCUUGAAAAAAUUAGAGUGUUUAAAGUAGACUCACGCUUGAAUACAUUAGCAUAGAAUAAUGAAAUAGGACAUCUGAUUCUAUUUUGUUAGUUUCUAGGAUCGAUGUA